rnacentral:rRNA from 1 species
UACGAAGGGGGCUAGCGUUGUUCGGAAUUACUGGGCGUAAAGCGCACGUAGGCGGAUAUUUAAGUCAGGGGUGAAAUCCCGAGGCUCAACCUCGGAACUGCCUUUGAUACUGGAUGUCUUGAGUGUGAGAGAGGUGAGUGGAACUCCGAGUGUAGAGGUGAAAUUCGUAGAUAUUCGGAAGAACACCAGUGGCGAAGGCGACUCACUGGCUCAUUACUGACGCUGAGGCUCGAAAGCGUGGGGAGCAAACAGG